AUUGAACGCUGGCGGCAGGCCUAACACAUGCAAGUCGAGCGGAUGAAGGGAGCUUGCUCCUGGAUUCAGCGGCGGACGGGUGAGUAAUGCCUAGGAAUCUGCCUGGUAGUGGGGGAUAACGUCCGGAAACGGGCGCUAAUACCGCAUACGUCCUGAGGGAGAAAGUGGGGGAUCUUCGGACCUCACGCUAUCAGAUGAGCCUAGGUCGGAUUAGCUAGUUGGUGGGGUAAAGGCCUACCAAGGCGACGAUCCGUAACUGGUCUGAGAGGAUGAUCAGUCAUACUGGAACUGAGACACGGUCCAGACUCCUACGGGAGGCAGCAGUGGGGAAUAUUGGACAAUGGGCGAAAGCCUGAUCCAGCCAUGCCGCGUGUGUGAAGAAGGGCUUCGGAUUGUAAAGCACUUUAAGUUGGGAGGAAGGGCAGUAAGUUAAUACCUUGCUGUUUUGACGUUACCAACAGAAUAAGCACCGGCUAACUUCGU
rnacentral:rRNA from 1 species